rnacentral:lncRNA from 1 species
AUACAUGCAUGUCCUAAUGAUUGUAUCCUUUAUAGGAAUGAGUUGAAAGAUGCAUCGUCAUGUCCUACUUAUGGAACUUCAAGGUGGAAGACAGAUAAAACAGGAACUAAAAAGAGGAAGGGGGUUCCAGCGAAAGUAAUGUGGUAUUUCCCUCCAGUUCCAAGAUUUAGAAGAAUGUUUCAAUCAGUAAAAAUUGCAAGAGAGC